CGUAAAGCGAGCGCAGGCGGAAAAAUAAGUCUAAUGUGAAAGCCCUCGGCUUAACCGAGGAACUGCAUCGGAAACUGUUUUUCUUGAGUGCAGAAGAGGAGAGUGGAACUCCAUGCGUAGCGGUGGAAUGCGUAGAUAUAUGGAAGAACACCAGUGGCGAAGGCGGCUCUCUGGUCUGCAACUGACGCUGAGGCUCGAAAGCAUGGGUAGCGAACAGGAUUAGAUACCCUGGUAGUCCAUGCCGUAAACGAUGAGUGCUAAGUGUUGGGAGGUUUCCGCCUCUCAGUGCUGCAGCUAACGCAUUAAGCACUCCGCCUGGGGAGUACGACCGCAAGGUUGAAACUCAAAGGAAUUGACGGGGGCCCGCACAAGCGGUGGAGCAUGUGGUUUAAUUCGAUGCAACGCGAAGAACCUUACCAGGUCUUGACAUCUAGUGCAAUCUGUAGAGAUACGGAGUUCCCUUCGGGGACGCUAAGACAGGUGGUGCAUGGCUGUCGUCAGCUCGUGUCGUGAGAUGUUGGGUUAAGUCCCGCAACGAGCGCAACCCUUGUUAUUAGUUGCCAGCAUUAAGUUGGGCACUCUAAUGAGACUGCCGGUGACAAACCGGAGGAAGGUGGGGAUGACGUCAAGUCAUCAUGCCCCUUAUGACCUGGGCUACACACGUGCUACAAUGGGCAGUACAACGAGAAGCAAGCCUGCGAAGGCAAGCGAAUCUCUGAAAGCUGUUCUCAGUUCGGACUGCAGUCUGCAACUCGACUGCACGAAGCUGGAAUCGCUAGUAAUCG
rnacentral:rRNA from 1 species